rnacentral:rRNA from 1 species
UGCGUAGGCGGUUUACUAAGUCAGAUGUGAAAGCCCGGGCUUAACCUGGGAACUGCAUUUGAUACUGGUAGGCUAGAGUAUGAUAGAGGGGGGUAGAAUUCCUGGUGUAGCGGUGAAAUGCGUAGAUAUCAGGAGGAAUACCAGUGGCGAAGGCGGCCCCCUGGAUCAAUACUGACGCUGAGGUACGAAAGCGUGGGUAGCGAACA